AAAACCACUAUUAACGGCAAUGAUUAUAUGUUGCGAUAAUAAUUUUCCUUCUUGUAGUUGAAACUUCAGAAGACAUCCAGAAAGCAUGGGAAGUGAUAAGGAAGAUUAUGAUACGGCUGAACACACUGACAGAGCAGUGGCAAGGGCAGUAUCUGACUGUCCACAGUCCCUAGGACUUGAGGAAAAACAAACUUGCCUUAAUGGACACCAACGAAGGACGGAGUUGCUGUUCCCUUGAACUCCUGAUGCU
rnacentral:lncRNA from 1 species